rnacentral:rRNA from 1 species
GAUGAACGCUGGCGGCGUGCCUAAUACAUGCAAGUCGAGCGAACAGACGAGGAGCUUGCUCCUCUGACGUUAGCGGCGGACGGGUGAGUAACACGUGGAUAACCUACCUAUAAGACUGGGAUAACUUCGGGAAACCGGAGCUAAUACCGGAUAAUAUAUUGAACCGCAUGGUUCAAUAGUGAAAGACGGUUUUGCUGUCACUUAUAGAUGGAUCCGCGCCGCAUUAGCUAGUUGGUAAGGUAACGGCUUACCAAGGCAACGAUGCGUAGCCGACCUGAGAGGGUGAUCGGCCACACUAGAACUGAGACACGGUCCAGACUACUACGGGAGGCAGCAGUAGGGAAUCUUCCGCAGUGGGCGAAAGCCUGACGGAGCAACGCCGCGUGAGUGAUGAAGGUCUUCGGAUCGUAAAACUCUGUUAUUAGGGAAGAACAAAUGUGUAAGUAACUAUGCACGUCUUGACGGUACCUAAUCAGAAAGCCACGGCUAACUACGUG